ACCUCAUCACGCUGUAGCAGCUCUCUGGUUUCUGCUUGAAGGAUCAGGAGGACACACAAACCUUCAUCAUGGCCAUCGCUGAUCAGCUGGUGGAGCUGAUGUUCUCCUGGAUCAAGAAGAGGGAGAACUGUGCAAAGAAGCUGAAGAAACUGGCUGAUGAGUUGGAGACACUCAGGGAGAAAUGCAACUCUGCAGAAUGUGCUGGCAGCACAGUGUCGGUGAUCGGAGCAGCGAGUCUGAUUGGAGCCGGUGUGGCCACUUUCUUUACUGCCGGAGCAGCUGUUCCAGCUUUAGCUAUUGUAGGAGGAAUAUAUAGCGGUGUUGGUGCCGCUGUAUCUGUAACUACAAAGAUCAUUGAGCACUUUUCAUCCAGCGACACCUUGAAAGAGGCUGAGAAGAUAGAAAAGGAGAACAAUGAGACUGCAAAAAGCAUCCAGAAUCUGUUUGAGCAGCUGAAGGUGGAGGUGAAGAGGAUGUAUCCCUCUGCUAACCCAGAUCAAGUCGACCGACAUGUCAUGACUUCAUUCAUGGGAGCCGUGGCCAGAAGAAGUGGCCUGAAGCUGAACAUCAAUUUCAGUCAACAUGAGAGUUUUUAUCUCAUUGAACCAGGAAUGAGACAGAACUCACUCAACACUUUUGCAAUGACAGCUGGACUGACAGUUUAUGGUAUUUUCACAGUUUUCUCACUGAAAACUGCUGGGAAACAAUCUAAGCUUUUGAUUGCUGAAGCAACCAAAAAACUCAUCAAAGAAAUGUCCGCAGCAGGAUUGAAGACAGCUAUUAAAGGCGGAGCCAUGGUUGUGGGAGGAGCUGUUGGAAUGGGGUUUGCUCUUUCUGAGGCAAUUGACAACUGGAAAGACCUGAUCGAGAAGAAUCAUGAGACUGAAGCGAGCCGAUCACUGAGAAAAACAGCUGAUGACAUUCUAAAGAUGUGCCGUACACUGAAGGAUCAGUUCGACAACAUGAGGACGGUUCUGGAGGAGAUGGACAGAAGACAAAGAGAAGAGGAGGAGAGGGCCAGAAGACAACUAGAAGAGAAGGAGAAGGCCAGAAAACAAAGAGAAGAUGAGGUGCUGGCCAAAAGAAGAGGAGAAGAGCAAGAGAAGGCCAAAAAACAAUUACAGGAGCAGAAGGAUGAGGCCAGAAAACAAAGAGAAGAGGAGGUGCUGGCCAAAAGAAGAAGAGAAGAGCAAGAGAAGGCCAAAAAACAAUUACAGGAGCAGAAGGAUGAGGCCAGAAAACAAAGAGAAGAUGAGGUGCUGGCCAAAAGAAGAGGAGAAGAGCAAGAGAAGGCCAAAAAACAAUUACAGGAGCAGAAGGAUGAGGCCAGAAAACAAAGAGAAGAUGAGGUGCUGGCCAAAAGAAGAGGAGAAGAGGAAGAGAAGGCCAAAAAACAAUUACAGGAGCAGAAGGAUGAGGCCAGAAAACAAAGAGAAGAUGAGGUGCUGGCCAAAAGAAGAGGAGAAGAGGAAGAGAAGGCCAAAAAACAAAUAAAGGAGCAGAAGGAGAAGGCCAGAAGACGACAGGAAUAUGAGAUGCAAACUGGAGGUGAACAAAAGAAAAACAGUCAGCAGGCCGAACAGACUGGAGGUGAUCAGGGAGAUGAUGAGAGGGAUGAUAAGGAUAAAAGGAGAGAUCAGGAGGGAGUGGAGGGUGAUAGCGAGGAAGAGACAGAGGAAGAGGAGAGCAAGCACACUGGUAGAAAGAAAAAGAAAAAGUGCCAUCGAAAAAACAGAACAACGAAUAGACAAAUCCAAACUGUGGAUCAGGGUGAGAUCAACCAAACACCUCCUGGAACAAUCAGGAUCGGGUUGCUCAACACUCGGUCGAUGAAUCAAAGAACAUCCAGGAUCUCAGAGCUCAUAACAGGAAACUACCUGGACGUCUUUCUCACAACAGAGACGUGGUUACGAGAUGAUACAGCAGACAGAGUCCUCAGUAUGGCAACACCAGAAGGUUUCAGGUCCCACUAUCAGGUGAGGGAUGGUAGAAGAGGAGGAGGGGUGGCCAAUCAGUUCUCAGAGGAAUUGCAGGGAGAACAACUUAACUUUAACCAUCUAAACAUAACAACCUUUGAGUUUGUUGUCACAGUUCUGCAACAUGAUGAUUGGGACCAACCUGUCGUGAUCAUCAAUGUGUAUCACCCACCAGGGUACAACCAGCAACGAUUCCGCAGGUUUCUGGACGAGUUUCAAAGUCUCCUGGAUGAAGUCAAGAAGAACUACAGCAGCAUCAUUGUGGCUGGAGAUUUCAACAUACAUGUUAAUGAAGAAAGGAGGUCCUAUACUGACGAGUUUGAUUUUCUUUUGUGGGUCAAUAACCUGAUACAGCAUGUAGAGGAGCCAACACACGAAGGAGGUAACACUCUGGAUCUGGUCAUUACCACAAAUGUUGAAAUCUCUGGUCUUAUUGUUCGGGAUGAUGGAGUAUCAGAUCAUUACACAGUUUAUUUUAAUGCAAAGCCAAAAGAUACAACAGACAAAACUGAACAAAAUGAGAAUGAAGAGCAGAAACGAUUCAGAAAGAUGUAG
ensembl:lncRNA